UACGUAGGGUGCAAGCGUUAAUCGGAAUUACUGGGCGUAAAGCGUGCGCAGGCGGUGAUGUAAGACAGUUGUGAAAUCCCCGGGCUCAACCUGGGAACUGCAUCUGUGACUGCAUCGCUGGAGUGCGGCAGAGGGGGAUGGAAUUCCGCGUGUAGCAGUGAAAUGCGUAGAUAUGCGGAGGAACACCGAUGUCGAAGGCAAUCCCCUGGGCCUGCACUGACGCUCAUGCACGAAAGCGUGGGGAGCAAACAGG
rnacentral:rRNA from 1 species